UCUACCCCUCUUGCACAAUUUUUUUUCUAAUUAUAAUUUUCUAACAUACUUUCCUCCUGGAAGCCAAAGUCAUUAACAUGUAUCCUCCCAGGACUCAAUGCCUCUGUUCAUCUCUGAGUCACUUUUCCAAUUACAAAUUAAUUUAUCCAGUAUUGCUCAUUCCUGCUAUGAGCAGUAAUGAGAAACACACCAGUCUUAGACUGAAAUUUUUGAAGGGAAUAAGUAACGUGUCCGUGGUGUAUCUGUGGGGUAUGACUUUGAGAGAGGUAUAUUUAUCAAAACAUGCUGGAUGUUUGGGAAGGCAAUUGAGGGAAGUGUGAUGACUGAUUUACCCCAAGGACCUUUGCAGUGUGGAAAUGGGACAAACCUCCAAAGUGCAGGGGAAUUCCCCAGAGAUUUGGUGCCUAUGUGUCUUCUCCCCCUUGCUUCCCUCCCAGUUCUUGGGGUGCCAGCUUUUAAAUUGGCCUCUGCUUUCUGUCUGCAGACAGUUUGCUAACCUAUCUGGAAGAAAAUACAGUUUGCCGAAGGCGUCUAGUGCUCUGAUUUACAGAUCAACCACAAACUUGCAACAGAAAUGGCUUGUUAUCUGGGUAGCUUGAGAUUGCUCUUUCCUGGUUAUGAAAAAUGCAAAUACUUACCUCUUUGUGUUAUUCAAAAGAGAAAAUGCUGUUAAAAGUCUUUAUAAAGGAUACUGGUGGAAAAAAUGAAUGAUAAAAAGUUGUUUUCACCACAGUGAAAUCUGCAGUGUCUGUAGCCCAAACCUUGGACUGACUGGCAGGAGUACCUGCUGGAGCAAUGGAGCUGGUUGUCCUGAAGAAGUCUGCAAGGAAAUCGUAUGCCUCUGAAACAUGGGGAAAUGGCAUUUGCUUUGGGAUUGUCUGCCAACACAGAGAAAUCCCAUGAGUCAGUAAGUUGAUAUCUGAAGGACAUUGGCACAUGAACCUGCUGUGCAGUUGGGGUUAUCAGUGAAAAAAAAAUAAGCUAAAAUCCCUUUGGGGUCACUUGAACUGCAGCGAGGAUGCAACCGUACUGUGGCUGCACAUUGCCCAAAGACAGAACUGAUGUCUGACCUCAGGAGCUGCUUAUUAAAAGCUAAUUAUUUAGGAAGCUUUGGUUUUGCUUGCCUGGAUCUCAGUUACUCUGUAAAUAAACUCCUAACCGAUGGGCUUGGGUCCCUUCAUUGGGUUGCACCCAUUCAAGAGAAACAAAACCUUGCAGAGCUUGUUGGUUUCUGUAACCGCUUCACUCUUCUGAUCUGUUCCAGCAGGUCUAGAUGGAUUUCCUCUAUCCCCUAUGUCUUUAUUACUUCAUUCUUACCUGGAAGCAAACUUGAAGAAGUACAACUGAAAUAAACAUCCCCUCUCUUUUCUUGGAAAUGCAUUUGCCUGUUCAUCAGACAUGUCUACAACCUUCCAGGUUAAUGAACAACUUUCUGAUGCAAUGUGGGGGUAAAUGUCUCCUCUAGUUUGGUAUCAGAUGGAAGGAUGAAUAGAUAGAGGCGUUUCCCACUGAGAGGGGCUUGGAAAUUUGUACAGUGAUGAACAGCCUUGAUACAGAUGUCCACAUCAGGCAGCUGUGUGCUGCGUGAUACUGCGGUGCAGGGUCUUGGCCAGCAAUGAAGCAAGGGGCAAGUGCCCCUCUCCAGGAGCAGUGAAUCACUGAUGUUGCUGAGCUGGUUUGUGACACCAAACCAGGAGCCAGUGCUCCUAAUUUCAUUAGUAGUUACAGACUCAGCUACAGAUAUUUUGGUACUGAAAAGCCUGUCUUAUAAAUUUUAUUCUCAUUGAUUUACUAGUGUGUCAUUGUGGUUUUUUGUUUGUUGUUUUUUUUUUUUAAUGGAAAGUCAUUAUCUCUUCAGGCAAAUGAUACUAAGAACAAUAUGUAGAAGUAAGGUUGAAUGGAGCUCUUACUGUUGCUUUGAUUAAUCAAUCUUCCUUUGUUCCAUAAACAUAUUUUUAAUUUGUCAUCUUCUAUGUUUUUUUGUAAAGUGAAAUUAUUUUAUGAUAAAGUACUGUGCUGUGUUAGAUAAUUCUGAUAAUAAAGAAACCUUGGAGUGUUAGUUGUCCUAACCGCAUGCUCUCAAACAUUCUUAUAUUUUCCUUAGACCUUUUAUAUCUAAUGAUACUCUUUUUAGAUGUAUCUUACAUAUGUUCGAUCGAAUAACCAGCUAAUUGUAAAAGAUGUGGGUUUUGUAAUGGAUUUGUACAGAUCCAGCUAUCAAAUGUUAUGAUGAGAAGGCUAAUGUGGGCACAAUUGCCCUCCUUUUUCAUGCUUUGCAGUAGAAGCAUGAAUUUCAUUUAGUACAGUGAGAGACUUCAACUUGAUCGAACAGAAAGACUUUUCCACUGAAAAUUAGCUGCACUGAAAGAAGAGGUGGAAAAUUAUCUGGAUAACGAGAAUAUAUUAAGACUUGAAUUAUUUUAUUCCAAACCUUUUUUUAUUCCCUUUUGGUUCAGGAAGAACGGCAAUGCCUGGUAAACAGGAAUUAAGAAGAAACAUCCUAUAGGGAUACCUUACGUGGUGAUGGCUCACUAUAGGGUUUCUCCUGCCUUUUUCUGCAGUUGUUAGAGAAGUCUGCCUUCAGAUGAAAGCAGCAUUAAUGAAUGCCUUGCUGCUCUUGGGGAACAUGGCAAGUCAAGUGCAUGGCUUUUAAUACUGUACUGAAGACCAAAUCUGAGCACGUUCAGUGGAGAAGUCCAACUCCACCCAGCAUGAGUGGAGGCUCUUGGAAACCAGGCAAGCGUGGGGCCAUCUGAUGUUGGAGGUGCUGAAGAGAAGAUAAGAGAAGGCUGAAUGCUUGACUGCUUGUUGAACACCCCACAAAACUGCUUGUUACGAUGCUUGAUCUUGAAAAACUUCCAGAAGAUACCAUCUGUCACGUCAGUUCCCAAAGAUGGUCCAGGAAGAAGAUCCUGUAGAAGGUCCCCAACUGCGACUAUUCUGGGUAAAAAUACACUGGGCCAGUGAGGCAGGACAGGAGACAGGCCAGAACAUGAAGAACAAGGGUUUGAGAGAACUUUCUUCCCUGAAUCCAUUGGAAAGUCAGCAGCUGAAUUAAACUGAUUUACAAGAGGCUCCUUCUCUGGACUUCGGACUCACGUGUACUCGUAAGUACAUCAUGCUGUAUACAAAUACUGCUGUCUUAUGCCUCACCCUUGUUUCCUAGUUUUCAGUAUGUUUUGAAAAUUGAACCUUUUACUGGUUGUUGCCUGCGAAGUGCUGCAGUAAGCAUGAGAAACUAACUAUUACAAGCAGUUUUAUGGGGAAUCCAGCGGGAUGUAUUUUAGCGCUGGAAAUCGCCUUGAGACUAAUCAAAAAACCAAAUCAAAACUGUUCAAAAAGUAGAACACAUCUGUAAUUGCCUGCUGAGGGAACUCGACUACCAAGUACUUUAUAAAUAUCCUGUUAACGUGCAAAUAAAAUCUUUUAUGAUAUUUGUCUGUGAUUUAAAAGAAAAAAGGUGGUAUUUGCCACUAGGCAAAUAAAGUUGUUAAUCAAAAUAUUUCCAUUAGUGAGAGGUGACUGUUUCACUCAGAGACACCACAGGCAUCAGUAGCUCAGAUUUAUUCACCAACAUCUCAGAUAGAAAGCUCACAUUUAUCUUCUUGCAUUGUAUUUCACAGAGUUGAUAUGAAUUCUGUAUGACAUCUUGCCUGUGUUCAGGUUUUUUGAAAGUCUGCCACAACUUGGUAUAAAACUUUACAAGAUGCUCAGGCUGUAUGAUGAAGUAGAAACAGCGGGAUUGGGGCACAUGAGUACAGGGAUGGGGAUGAAAGAAGAGUUGCAUUUUGCAUCAUGUGCGCUUGAUUUUUAGGCUCCUGGGAAGAGCCACUGAAAGGCAUUGGCAGCUGGCUGCCAGGGUCCUUUAUCCCCACAAAAAAAUGCCAGUUUCUUUGUGCCUUCCUGAGACCCUCCUGCCCAACCUUGCAUGCCAGGAGACACCUGGGGUAGGUGGUGGGUGAUGGUUUGGGAGUGGCACACCUUGAGGAAAAUGAAAGCUCCUUUUUUUCUCGCAUUGAUUCCUAUUGAUUUUAGAAAAGGCAACGCAACAACCCUUUCCUCUCCCUUCAGGUAAGGUCAGAGAAGACAAAUGUUUUCUGGAUGUUUUCCAGAUCAAAAUCAAUCUGGUCUGAGGCUGGGUGUGAGAGGAGGACUCUGGAGAUAUUUCCCAUUUAAUAACCUUUUCCAGAGCUCAGGUCACAGGGCAGCAGGUGUAAUGCAUGGUCUCCACAUUUCUUUCUGAAUAUCCUGAUGCAGCAUGACGCACAGCUAAACGGGGAGGAACAGCUGCUUUUUGUCACUGGGUUGAACACUGAUGUAAAGCUAGUGGGUGCUUCCAAUGGUGCAUGUUCUACCAGCACAACGCACCCUUCUCAGGCAAACCUGUAUCAUGUAUUACACUCUUUACUUUUUAAGUAUUUUCUUUGCUGGAAUUCGAUUCUCUGUUUCUCCUAAAAAUGAUCUUUUCAGUUUUCUAAAAUUGAUGAUGCCUCUGUGUCACUUGUUCUAUAUGUUGCAUGUGUGGUUCAGUGUACCGAGUUAGCAGGAUUAGGGAGCUUCAUCUCCAGUGUAGUUGGAGGCCCUGGUCACAUCUUGCUCUUACAAUGAUGUUUUCACAUGUUUUCCAUAGGUGUUAAUUUUUACAUGGAAAACUAACAAAAAGGUCUAGAAGAAUUGGGAAUCUCUGCAAACAUGUGCCACACCCAGUUAAGGUCCUGACCAUGUUUCUCCUGGGCUCUGUUCAGCAUUCAGUCCUGCCGUGAGCAGGCAGCAAAGGCGGGCAUUGGGAACUAUUGCUGAGUAGUGAAAAGAUGGUUUCCCGAUGGGCUGGAGUCAUAUUCCAUGACAACUUAUGUGAGCAGAAAGAAGGCUAAUGUACUGGAAAUGUUACUGUGCAUUCAUUUUGCAUGUAAGCUGUCCUUUUUGUCUGAGAGCUUACCAUAACGAUCUUCACUGUGCCCUUUCCCGCUAAAACUCAGCUGAAGCUUGAUCACAAAGAUGCCAAACACUGGGGCCAAUGAAGUAUUUAAUCCCAUACAUUAUAUAGGUAUUUCUAUAUGAGCUGAUGGAAUAUGCACUCUCUUAGUGCAACCCAUGACUUCAGGGGUUUGCUGGAUGCUGUAGGAGCUUGUUACGCUGGCUGUUUGACUCUGCCUAGGACAUUAUAAACUAUGAUCUGGCUGUGCUAUGUAUUAACUUCUGCUAUUAGACAGGAUCCAUGGUGGAGGUGGCCAUGAAUGCAGGAGAAGGGCAAUCCCUAUGCUGAGAUCUAUCAUUUAAUAGCUAAGUUACUUUACAUUUUCUACUACAGAGAAGCACCUGUAGAUAGCGAUUCAGCCUGCAGAAGUGAUUAAUUUGUCUCUUUUUUGUCAUUGACCUUCAUUGGGAACUUACACAUCUGUCUUCCUAGUGUAGGAGCGCAAAUGCUCACAAAUACAGCAUUUGUGUGAUGUGGCGCUUAAUGUCACAGAAAGAAGGACAUGGAUGAGAGACUAAUGCAAUAAAAACAGGUUUAAAUAGAGAUCACCGUGGACACAGCAGAUUCCUGGUUGAUAUUGCUGACACAUACUGUACAGAAAUAACAGUCAUCACCUUGCUAGGAAAGUAAAAUAUGCAUUUUCAGCAAUGGAUAUGGGAAUUGCUCAGUUACAUCCAGGAACGGAGAGCACAGCUGAGUAUAUCCACGUCUGCCUGGGAUGUUUAGCCACAAAGCUGCCACUGGGAUUAAUUCCUCAAUCCCCAGGAUGAUCUGAGAAUAUCAGCUGAGUGACUGACUGUUUUCUCUUGUUUUUUUGUGAAACCACCAUAAUAUUUAGAGCUUGGAGAGUUGACAAGGACACUCACGGGACUGGAAGGAUGAUGCUUGAGAAAGAGGGGAAAAAUGCUCAACCAAACUGUGUGUGUGAUGGCCUGAGCACACCAGAUGAGGCCCCUGGCUUAUGUGAGCAAAACUGCUGUAUUUCCCGAAAACAGGCAGCAUAGACACCCCUGAGCUGUGGCAGCAGCUGAACCACCUUCAGACAUCACUGCCUGUCCAUCAAGAAAUAGUGCCUGAGAGCUAUGAAUCAGAUAUACCCAGUUAUACUCUGCUCUGCUGAAUAAAUGGCUGCAGUUACUUGAAUACAUACCAGAGAACCAGACUAUAACCUAAUAAAGUUGCAAAUAGAUUGCAUUGCCUGUGCAUUAAAGGUCAACCCAAUUUCUUCUAAAGUGGAUGUGAGACUUCCUAAUGGUCCCUGCACAUCAGCUUAUGCCCUGCUUUUAAGAAUUGAUAAAUGUAAGUAGUGGGUUUGCAGUAGGUACGUUGGAUGCUUCAGGGGAAACUCAACCCUUUGAAGUGUUACUGUGCUGUCCUUGAUUGAUGCUUGUAACUCAGGUCAGGAGAUCUAUGGGCAUGCACAUCCAUACAUCUGUCUGUUGCCUGGAAAGGGCUAUGAGGUGCUUAAAAUGACAUCCUGUGCACAAAGCAGGCUGCCGAGGGAGCCUGGUGAGUGGGGACAGGAGUUCCAGAGUCCAUGAGACCUCUUGGCAUGAGAAUAGCCCACCUCCCAAGCAUGGGCUCUCUCGGCAAAGGCUGAGCAAAAAGAAAUGGAAACCCAGCAAAAAGAUUCAAACAGUAAGUCAACAGGGUGCUUACAGAAAGGAAAGAAGUUAGACUCGGAGGCUAUUGUUGGGGCUUAAUGAGAACUUCCUUGAAGCUCUGAAACAGUGGGCAGUGAUACGGUGGCUGGUUUAACAGUAGCUCGUGGUCUCUCCUAAUAAGAAAAAAGUUUUGCUUGGAGAGGAAAUACCGAUAUUUAUCAAGGAAAAUAAAUGGCUGAUACUACCAUCCAGAAAUGUUGCAAGAUCAAGUUAGAUUUUAUUUUUAAGGAAGUUUUUUUAUAUCCCUCCUAACAUCUGAGUCUUUGAAUUAUGCUUAAAUGUUUCUCACUGCAGUCAUAAAACCUAGAAACAUGUUACCCUCAUUCAUAACGAAAAUAUUUUCAUAUAAUCUUUGAUUCAGAGUUUAGGCUUUUUAAAAAUUCCCAUGCAUUGAGUGCCUUGUCAUGAAAACAAGAGAGAAAAGCAAGUUGCCAACUUCAUGUUAUAUUUCUGUUUUAAUGCUCAUCCAUGAGAUGAGUGCUUUGCUCCUGGCAGACCUUGUGCUUUUACUCCACAAAACAGAUUUUACAUCAGUGUAACAGUCUUGAACCCAGCAGGUCAGACUGUAGCACAGCACAGGGAGAGAUGGGGAAGAGCAAAGCUGGAGGCAGGGCUUAAAAUUACUUGAGACAGAAAGCAGCAACAAUGCUGGUUUGUCACUUGGAAACUUCCGCACCCCAGAUUCCCUGCUUACCUGGUCUUGAUCUAGUAAACUAACAUAUCAUGAGAUCUAGUAGUAUCAUUGUCCAGAUGACAAAACCACAAAUUCCUUCAUCUGAGUCAAAGACAAACCUUUUCUAGUGCCCCUUGUGCAACACCACCUAAGCAAGGUCUCAGCUUGUUGGGGUCCAGGUCUUUUGUGUGUGCAAGAGGGUAAUUACUAAGCUCUUCAGUGUCUUUUUUAGAUAUAUAUUUCUGUAUGCUAGUCCUUUGGGUGUGUGUAAUUCCCUGUAGAACCUGUGAAAUGGAAGAGGUUUAUCAGUCCUCUGAAAGUCACAGAAAAUGCACCACCACCUUCUGCAGGGACACGCAGAGCUUCCCCACUCUGCCUUUGGUGAAACUGGGAGGCUCUUCUGGCUCCUGAGCAGCCCGAGCACAACUGAGCUAGCAGUGGGGAGCAGAGAUGGAAACUGAUUUAAAAUAGUUGGUAUUAGUUUCAGGGGAAAAAAAUGCAAUUAUUCUUAAGGUUGGGAAACUUUCCUCAGCAUUUCCAGGAAGGACGGAAGUGUGCCUGCAGGUGGAGGGUGAAGGGCUGUAAAGACCUUUGCAGUAGCAGUUGCACAUUUCUUCCAUAACCACAGCAUUCUUUGGCACUUGGUUUCUUGCCUUGGACUAAGUGUAAUUUUAUGGAUAAUGGAACACCUUAUGCACAGGGAGGACAAAAAACAUCUGUAAGAAAUCACUUUUGUCUCAAACCACUAAUUAAUUUCAACCAGAAUUCUGUCCUUUUUUUGCAAAAGAGAUGUAGCCUGAGGAGCUGAGCCUUGUGUUUGGAUUCACUUAGGAGGUGCUCUGCUUUCCCUGCUCAAGGUUUCUAGUGUCACCUAUGCUGCCCCUGUGCCCACUUGCCCAAGUAGAAAUUCAAGAGUGAAUGUUUACGCAGCUAAGAAAUGAAACGCUCUCUUCUGAGGGCAUGUGAAAAUGCAAAGAAAUCUUCAACCAGAUGAAUACAUUUUUUUAUUGUUGAAGCUUGAUAACAGUUCACAUAAGCGAUCUAUUUUCCAAGCCAAACAUUUCCUUUUUCUGUGCCUUUUUCCUAUGCUGUUUUACCUUUCACUCCCUCCAUUAUUGAGACACAGUUUGGGCUGACCUGAGCAUCUCAUCACUUUUGGAGUGCUGUAGAGACUUCCACUUCACUUGGCUGUGCUACAGGGGAAGGGAAUCAGAUGACAAAUGUUAUGACCGUUCAUGAUGGGCAGAACAUCUUGUGCUCCUGAAUCCCACUAAUGCUUAUGCAUCAAAUUGUAUUUAAAAGCACACAACUUCAACCUUAAACACAGUAUAUGUUCAUAUACCUUAAUGAGUUGGGUUUAUGCCAGAAUAUCCCAAGUUUGCAUGUUCAUAUGGAGGGCACACUAACAGCUCCCUUUUUGUGGGUCCAAAUAAACUUUUGGCCCUUGGGCUGUGCUUUUGGUGCUGCCCAGCUCUAAGAGUUGGGUGAAGUUUUGCCUCUGCAAAUCAUCUUGUUUUCUAAUAAAUGAAGACUGUGGAAAAUCUCCCAUGGUAAGUGUAUUAACAAGAAUGAUACUGUGGAAAUUUGGCUAAAAGCACUUAAAGCUGGCUGUAACCAAAAGAAGGUGGUCUUGGGCUGUGUCCCAUUGGAAGGGGAUCACUCAGCCCCUGCAGGGACCUUCAUUACGCAGGCAGAGCGACCUGGCCGCACCAUUACUGAUUGCUUUCUAGAAGCUGUGGUUUCCAGUAUUAAUGCAGACCUCUGCCAAAGCUUAUAGUGAGGCAAGAGGGGAGAGAGACGAGAAGAAAUCCAUUUUCAUCCACUGUGCUGAUGUCUUUCACCUCUGCUAUAGUAAUUUUUUUCAUGUCUCAGAGGGCUUGGAAGGUGCCAGAUGAGUAAUAUGUAACAGAGAGAGCUCUGUGGCUCUGGUGUGCCCUCAGAGUGCUCACAGCAUCCUUUUGCACUCACCUCUGCCCUCACAAGGGUGCACCACAUGAUUGAUUUAAGAUUAAAGUUUAAAUCUAAAUUCAGUUCCUCACUUGCCUUUAUGAACACAGAGGGCUCCAUAACUGUAGGAGAGGUGUUGUAAUCACUGAAAGGGGUCAAUUAUUCAUUUUAAAUAUCAGAUUAUUAAAAUAAUUCAUCGUGGUUGAUGCUUGCAAAAGCUCAACUACCAAGUGCAGGCGCAGUGCAGCGCUGCUUGGAGGUUUCUGAGUUCUAAGCAUCAUCUUGUCCUCCUGUUGAGUUUUCUGUAACACAGUGUGCUUCUAGGCUUUGGGGCCUUUAAUUGUGUAAAGCAGAGAAUAUUUACAGUUCAAAGGAAGCAUGUCCUUUGGAAUUAUUAAUCUGCAUAGAAUAUCUGUCAGUGAGAAUUAAUAUUAAAACUUUUCAGCACCGCUUAUGUUCACACUGGUUUGGUUCCCCUCCUGCUUCUUUCUUUGAUGCUUUAAUCAGUAAUGACUGUGAUGAUAGCACAUUCUUCUCAUUGAGAGUAGAGGUUUUCUCAAACUUGUGAUUUCUAUCUACAAAAUCAAAUAUUAGCAGAAUAGGAGCCUCAGGAUACGUUCACCCAAGACUGUCCAGAGUGUCCUCGGGGUGUCCAGGCAGGCAGGGUCAGUCCCGGCACAUGGCAAAGCCCAGACAUGAUGGCUGCUGACAGCCAUGAGGAAAGAGUGUCCUGGUGCCCCCUCUUCCAGGGGAGUGGGAGUGGGAGGCUCUGCACUGGUCUCCCAAAGAGCACAGGCAAUAGCUGUGCUCCAAGAUGGUAUGUUUGAAAAGCAAAUUAAUGGAAUUAGUGCUAGUGUAUGUGAUCACAGCUAAGUAUAUCUGUGUAGCAGCUCUGUGCUCGUGCACUCUUAAGUCAGGCCUUUGCAACUGCAGGAUGUCUCAGAGAAGGCUCUUGGGCUCCUCUGUGUGGAGUGCUAAAACCUCUUCUGCUAGAGAAGAGGGAGCCCUCUUUGUGAAUGCAGAGAGCUGAUGAUGUGGUUGUGUCUGUUUUAUCUUCCAGGACACUCAGGUACAGUAUAUUGUACUUAGGUACAGUAUUUCAGCAGCCACUGAAACCUGGCUGCUAUUGUGGAAAACCUGUGGUGUGUGGGAUAGAGCUGUAUGAGACUUGAAACGUCUCCACGCUCCACGUUAGUGAUUUGCUCUCCUUUCAGUGCCCUGCAGAUCUACCUGUAGAUGUCUGAGCUUGAAGAGCAAGUGGGAGCCCCUUUGGGUGCAGGGGAGGUCAGUCACAGUCCUCCUAUAAGGGUGAGGCAGUGAGUCUCACCGCCCAACCUGAAUUUUUGUGAUGUUUUUCACCACCAAACCUAGAAGACCAGUCAUUAGGCUGAGGAUUGAUGGGCAAGAGGGUGUUCUCCCAAGCCAACUGCUAAUGAGAGGUGAUUUGCAUUUGCCUUGCUGACUUAGGGGGACUUUAACCAGUGCUUCAAGGACUGCUGUGAGGGGUGCUUCUGUAGAAAGAGGUAGGUGGGGUUCACUCAUUUGCUGAGCCUCCUUGUUAAUUCUUGUUUUGCCUGGUGAUAAAAUAACUUGCUUCUGGGGGCAAAUUUCUCCCUUCUUUUUCCCACAGCACACUUUCCCUGCAGGUUAGAUGGUCAUGGGGUGAAACGGGGGCAGUGAUGGGGCAGAGAAUAGGACGGACAGAAAUGCUGCCUGGUAGGUAGCACAGCAAGGGGUGUGAGCCUGGGCUGGCCCUGCAGUCCUGUGAUACAGAAGAGUAUCAUGAAGAGCCAGCAGAGGAGGAAAACACGGUUUCUGUUGCUGAUGGGGUGACUGUGCUCUGGGAAGAAGGAAAGUGCAGCUCAGCCCACAGGGCAUUGCUGCUCACUGCUCUCCUGCAGGGUGAAAGUGUGGUGCAAAACUUAGCUUCCCUAACUGCAAAUGCUUGAACACUUCACUUCUGAGGUUUUGAAGCACCUGCUGAAAAAUAUUGGAGCUAGAGGGAAAAAAACAAAAAGCUCUCAGCAGCUUUGUUUUCACCUAGAAAAAUCCUUAGCGUGUCUGUCCAUCAGGUAAGUGACUUGUUUUGGACAAAUGUCCACUGCACACAAACACAGUGGCAGAGCACAAGGUAUGUCCCCUCCAGCUCUUUGGAGAAGCUGAGGACAGUCACUGUGCCCUGCCUUCAAAGCAAGUGCUGUGGGGAAUCACAGUACCUGGGGGUAGAAGUGUCACCCCUUGCUUCAGAGCCGCUAUGUGGCCUGUGGCCCUCAUUGUAUAUGUAUUUUGUGUUCAAAUAGAUGUCUGAUU